rnacentral:rRNA from 1 species
UGAGCAACCUGCCUUUCAGAGGGGGAUAACAGUUGGAAACGACUGCUAAUACCGCAUAACGCUGCGAUGGGGCAUCCCGAUGCAGCCAAAGGAGCAAUCCGCUGGAAGAUGGGCUCGCGGCCGAUUAGCUAGUUGGUGGGGCAACGGCCCACCAAGGCGACGAUCGGUAGCCGGACUGAGAGGUUGAUCGGCCACAUUGGGACUGAGACGCGGCCCAGACUCCUACGGAAGGCAGCAG